UACGUAGGGGGCAAGCGUUGUCCGGAUUCAUUGGGCGUAAAGAGCGUGUAGGCGGCCAGAAAAGUCCGCUGUGAAAACUCGAGGCUCAACUUCGAGCUGUCGGUGGAAACUUUCUGGCUAGAGUCCGGAAGAGGAGAAUGGAAUUCCUGGUGUAGCGGUGAAAUGCGCAGAUAUCAGGAAGAACACCCGUGGCGAAGGCGGUUCUCUGGGACGGUACUGACGCUGAGACGCGAAAGCGUGGGGGAGCGAACAGG
rnacentral:rRNA from 1 species